GACGAACGCUGGCGGCGUGCUUAACACAUGCAAGUCGAACGGAAAGGCCUGCUUUCCCUUGUGGAUUGCGGGUACUCGAGUGGCGAACGGGUGAGUAACACGUGAGUGAUCUGCCCCCAACUUGGGUAUAAGCCUGGGAAACUGGGUCUAAUUCCCGAUAGGACUGCAGGGUGGUGCCUGUGGUGGAAAACGAUUUUCUAGUGGUUGGGGAUGAGCUCGCGGCCUAUCAGCUUGUUGGUGGGGUAAUGACCUACCAAGGCGGCGACGGGUAGCCGGCCUGAGAGGGUGGACGGCCACAUUGGGACUGAGAUACGGCCCAGACUCCUACGGGAGGCAGCAGUGGGGAAUAUUACACAAUGGGCGGAAGCCUGAUGCAGCGACGCCGCGUGGGGGAUGACGGCCUUCGGGUGGUAAACUCCUUUCGACCGCGAGGAAGCCACCUGGUUGGAAGGGUGGUGACGGUAGUGGUAGAAGAAGCACCGGCUAACUACGUG
rnacentral:rRNA from 1 species